rnacentral:miRNA from 1 species
AGCAUCACUAUCCUUUGACAAAC